rnacentral:lncRNA from 1 species
ACGGGCUCUGGCGUUUCAAAAAAGGUCAGAUCGUGAAAUAGUUUCAGUCAGAGUUCAUUCCGUGAAAUACUUUCAUCCCAGGGUCAAAAUAGUGAAAAAAUCCGAAUUCGAGAGACUUUGGAGGACCGUGACGGCCCCUGGUUCCUGGAGGAUGGUCGGAAGCGGAGGGCACUGUCGAUACUAGCAAGAGAAGUGGAGGAGCCAACUUGAUCUGCUGUACGCUUACAAUUCAGGCUGAUGCUGCUUGCCCUGUUUCUCACCGAUGAUGCUUUCUUCUCCAUGCCUGCGAUUCUUCACCUCUUCCUCGUGCCGACCUUGGAGGUUCUUGCCGGCUUUCACCACCAUUGGCAGGAAACAUACUAUUGAUAGAAGCCGGAAAUAUGCUGCCUGCCUGGUUAGUUGCUUGUGCAAACAAGUUUUUUGUGUUUAUCUCAAUUUUGAACCUGACAAUUUUUAUUUCUAUAGUUCUAUGCACUUUUCAAAGAUUUGCCAUCUGAUGGAAUUCGAUUCCUACAUAGGUAGCUAUACUGGCAUUCAAGCUGGCCUUCCUUUAUUUGCAAUUUAUAUAAAUAAACGGUUUCGGCCGAUUGCUGAUUCGAAUGUCGAUUCCUUUCAGAGAACAAGCCGGCC